ACCAUACAUAAUUUCCUUUAUAGAAGACAGAUACACAACCGUGGCUUGAGCUUUGAUACGACAUCUUCAACUGGUUUUAAUGGAACUGUUAUUCACUAUGCACCUACCAAUCUCACUGACAAAGAAAUAAUAACGGAGAUCUUUAUUCUAGACUCUGGAGGACAAUAUUUGCUGCCUUCCACUCUGGAACGUCGGACUUGAUUACAGACACGGAACAGGCCACGGGAUCGGGAUGUACUUAUGUGUUCAUGAAUGUCCAGCGCGUAUUGGUAUGAAUAGCAGACAACCUUGGUAUGAUUUGCCAAUAGAAGAGGGUCAAAUCUUUUUCUGAUAGUAUCUACAUUCUUAAAUCAUUAUCAUCAUGAUAAUGAAAGAAUAAAGAAUA